AGAGGAAGGAGAGAUCAUGGCGGACGGGAGGCAAGACUAGCCUGCAGCUCUGGACAGAGCAGCGAGUGGGAGCUCGCAUUGUAAACUUUAGCUCCAGAUGGACGGCAAAAACAAACCAGCAAUCCCCAGAGGACCCACAGACCCUCUGAAGGAAGUGGGCUGCUCCUGCAGGACCCGGGAGACCCCCAAAACUGUGAGUGUCCAGCUGCCGAAGUGGGAAAGGGAAACCCUCCUCUCCGGAACAGACACCCCCUGAGAAGUCUAUUUGUGGGAGAAGUUUCCGACUUUACCUGGAGCUGAGUCAGUCUGGAGAGCUGACUGAAAUACAGGGAUAGAGGAGGCAGCAGCAAGGCCCUGGGAGCUGAAUGGGUCCCCGGGCAGCCCAUUCCUGCCUGGCACCACAGGGAUCCAACGGGAGAGGAACAGAGGGUAAAACUACACGGAGAGAAGGAAAUCUCUAGCUGAACUUUGUAACAAUUCGAACAGCGUGAGAAGUCUCCUGGCCAGAACUCGGGGGAGGACACAAAUCUCCUGCACAGUUAAUAUCCAGAGUCACACGUGGAGAGGAAGCAUCACAAUGAGACCAUACAACCAUAUAAUCUGUUCAAGUCCUAGAAGGUGUUGGCAGAGCUGCAGGACUGACCUAGGUCAAUGGCUGUGGGGGAAGAAAAGACACCAGAUGUUUCCGAUCAAGAGACAAGAGAAACAUUCAGCGUGACCCUAGAAAAUCUUUCUAAAGAGAUUUCACAACACUCAGCUCAUGUUUCGGGUCCAUGAAACCAUCUUUAGAUGAAUGAUGCCUUGUUACCUGUGAGAGGAAGUGAGCAGCGAGGAGUCCUGUCAGUUCCGGAAGGAGUAUUUGGGUUACUGUUCUUCAUUGUCUGCAGUUCUGUCUUGCUCAGUCGCCCAGGCUGAAGUGCAGUGGUGUGAUCAUAGCUCACUGCAGCCUCAACUUCCUGGAGUCAAGCAAGCCUCCCACAUCAGCCUCCUGAGUAGAUUGGAGACCUGUUGUGUGUUACCUUUGGAAGGUUUUCCACAGUUGAGAUCCAGUUGCUCCAGCAUCAUUUGUUGAGUGGUCUCUCUUCAUCCACAGAGCUCCAGAGUGUCUCCUCUUACAGGACUUCUACACGUUGGGCACAAAUUUCAGCAUGGCGUUAAGAAGAACUGGUCUUGCUCUGUCACUCAAGCUGGAAUGCAGUGGCACCAUCACGGCUCACCGUAGCCUCAAUCCCUUGGGCUCAAGUCAUCUUUUGGCCUCAGCCUCCUGAGGAGAUGGGACUACGCCACCAUGGCAAUUGUGUAGCAACAACAGUCACAGCUCGGACAUCAUGAAGCCUGGAUUUCUUGAGAAGUGUGUGUCAGAAAUUGUCCUAUUAAAGUGUGGAAGGAAAACCUUGGCAAGAAAUAGAGUGAACACUCAGAAACUGGCUCCUGAACGAAUCCGGUUCCUUCAGAACUCCAGCAUGCCCCCCUGGGUGACCUAUGUUUUCUGGAAAGCGGUUCUACAAAGCUGUGUUUUAGAGGAGGAAUCUUACUGGCAGACAGGAUUUGGCUUUGUUUAGCUAUCCGUACUGUUUCUGCAACACUUGCUUUUGCUACUGAAAGGAGUUAUGCGGUUUGCAACCUAAAACCACCACACUGAUUGUCAGUGGUGACUUUCUGAGUGACUGACGCAAGGUGGACCCUCAAAGAGACCUGAGGUACUUGUUGGCCGAUUUACCUUCACAUCAUAACGCACGCAGAGUGAACACCUCACAUGCAAGUACAGCAAGAAACCCCAUAUACCAGUGGGAAUGUUGCCACAAUGUCUCCCAUGACAGCGGACAGACCUGGAGCCGUGCAUUCUUUGGGGAGGAAUCGGCUCCUUCCAUUGGAGCUGUAGGAUCUCUCCCCUCUCACCAGGUCUCCCACACACGCACUUUUGCCCCUAGAGGGGCCUACUUGAAGCUCACGUCUUCAGUGUGCAGAUUCAGAAACACUUGAGCACAGAAGAUCAUGGCCUCUCAGGGGAGGGAGGAACUCACAAGGUUAUCCAGCCCAACCUAUCAUCAGAGGCUGAAAUAUGUUUUGAACAGUGUGUCCACGCUCACAGUCCGCAGUGCUUCCUCUGAACUCUGGGAGCAAGUCUUUGCACAAAAAAGACACUUGGCUGACAGCAUCCGGAAAUCACCUGCAAUCCCAAAGCCUCCGGAAUGCACCUGCAAUCCCACAGCGUCCGGAAUGCACCUGCAAUCCCACAGCAUCUGGAAUGCACCUGCAAUCCCGCAGCAUCUGGAAUGCACCUGCAAUCCCACAGCAUCCGGAAUGCACCUGCAAUCCCACAUCCAUAGCAUCUGGAAUGCACCCGCAAUCCCACAGCAUCCGGAAUGCACCUGCAAUCCCACAGCAUCCGGAAUGCACCCGCAAUCCCACAGCGUCCGGAAUGCACCUGCAAUCCCACAGCAUCCAGAAUGCACAAUCCCACAGCAUCCGGAAAGCACCUGCGAUCCCACAGCAUCUGGAAUGCACCUGCAAUCCCACAGCAUCAGGAAUGCACCUGCAAUCCCACAGCAUCCAGAAUGCACCUGCAAUCCCACAUCCACAGCAUCCGGAAUGCACCCGCAAUCCCACAGCAUCCGGAAUACACCCGCAAUCCCACAGCAUCCGGAAUACACCCGCAAUCCCACAGCAUCCAGAAUGCACCUGCAAUCCAACAGCAUCCGGAAUGCACCGGCAAUCCCACAGCAUCCGGAAUGCACCCGCAGCCCCACAGCAUCCGGAAUACACCCGCAAUCCCACAGCAUCUGGAAUGCACCCGCAAUCCCACAUCCAGAGCAUCCGGAAUGCACCCGCAAUCCCACAGCAUCCGGAAUGCACCCGCAAUCCCACAGCAUCCGGAAUGCACCCGCAAUCCCACAGCAUCCGGAAUGCACCCGCAAUCCCACAGCGUCCGGAAUGCACGUGCAAUCCCACAUCGACAGCGUGUUUUCUCACUGUCCCUGGGGAUUCCAAGCCACUAGCCUCUGUUCCCACAGGAAAGUCUCUUUUUUGUCUCUCCUUCAAUUCUAUGAUUAUAUUCACGUUGAAAUAUAUCAACUUUAAAAAACACUUGUAUUGUGACAUAUCAGUUCUCAUACCUGUAAGGACAGCACUCCUAUCAGAAAUAUGAAUAUUACUUGUGAGUGUGACAAAUAAACAUAAACUCAAGAGUAGGUCUUUUCAAAUACAUUCUAGCUAAAAAAAAAAAAAAAAGCUAAAUGAACAUGCAGACCUCCAUGAAGAAUAAACAGCUGGCAAGAGAAUGUGUGAGCAGGGAGGGGCUCUUUAAUAUGAAUAAAAGGCUCAGUGGACUCACAAUGGCUGUUUGCAAAUACACGAAGGCACUCCGUAUAGAUCAGAGUCAGGAAUUGUUUUAUUAGGCCUAGAGAGAUAGAGCUACCAUCAAUCACUGGAUAUAAGUCACAUAGGAAGCCUGGCACAAAGUAAAAAUGUUCAAACAUGAAAUCAGCUGUCUCUGGGGCAAUGAGCUGUCACUACAGUUAUUUGAUGUUAGCUGGGCAUUGACUUGUGAGAAUAUUAUCAAGAAAAUUCAACUGCAGGUAGUCCUGAGUGAUGUCCAAUGUCCACUCCAGCAAUGGAACGAAAUGACAAUGACUACGCUGUGGUUUCCUCGGAUAUAGACGAAAUACAUCUGCUGAUAAACACAGGCUCCCAUACGUUUAAUGAUCAAUCCAGGCCUGCCUCCAGUAACAAACAGCAGAUCUUCAAAGACCAGCCCGGACACAGACAGCCCAGAAUUUAGGCCAUGUUCUUUGAAUAUCUACAAUAUUACAAAAUUCCAGUGUAGCUCACUGAGUCAGUGUGUGUGUAUAAAAUUAAAAAUGCAAAAAUUAUUUUUUCUGGUUCAGGGAUUUCUGUGAUAAAUGUUUUUCUUUUUAAAUAUGAACAGUAAGUCGAACAAUAAAUAAAUGUAAUAAGACAAGAGUAAGAGCCUUCUACUUGUGUAAAGACUUUGUGCUAGGAAGGUGUGUAGCCGCCUCUACAUAUUCAAUUUUAACUUUCUCUUAUUGUUUCUUGAAGGACAGGACUGCAGAGCUCACUGUUUAAGGGUGACUAUGCUCUCCUGUCCAUUCAUUCAUGGAGACCUGAGUUUUUCUCUAGGGACAUAUUAAAGUAGCCUGGAGUUAGAACAGCACAAACCCUUCAAAAAGUGGUAAAUUUCUCAGCGGAUUCCACAGUUGUCAUGAAUGUGAUUAAUAGGUGAUCAAGGCUCACCUCUUCAUCUGGAGCUACCUAGACAAGCAGAAAGGGAAAUUCUAUUUCCAGCUCCUAAGCAAAUAAGUAACUGAAAACAUUUAAUUUCUGGGAGAUCUUACAAGCAGGGCCACUCUAAAAUGAACACUGGGGAGUCAAAAAAAAAAAAAAAAGGAAAAUGACUGCUCCUUACCUGCACCAAUGACUCGGGUGAUGCUACCCUUGAAGAUUCCGUUGGUCCUGAUCCAACAGAACAUAGAGAGUGACACUGUGUAUCUUCUAUGAAGAAGCUAGCACAGUGUGGAAAAUUGGCCUUACAAAAAUGUGUCAUGUUCAUUACUUUUAAUUAAGGAAUUAAAUUAUGUUUUAAUUUCCUGGGGUUUAUCACACACUUAUUUAAUAGUAAAUUAUAUUAUUACCAGGAUUCAUGGUGUGGUGUGUGUGUGUGUGUAUGUGUGUGCAAAGUAGGAAACAUGAGAGAUAAAUGUAAUUUAAGCAUAGAAUGAAAUAAAAAUGUGUUACAGAAAAAAUGAA
rnacentral:lncRNA from 1 species